AGGAUGAACGCUGGCGGCGUGCUUAACACAUGCAAGUCGAACGGUGAAAGAGAGCUUGCUCUCUGGAUCAGUGGCGAACGGGUGAGUAACACGUGAGUAACCUGCCCUUGACUCUGGGAUAAGCACUGGAAACGGUGUCUAAUACCGGAUACGACUUCCGAAGGCAUCUUCUGGAAGUGGAAAGAAUUUCGGUCAAGGAUGGACUCGCGGCCUAUCAGCUAGUUGGUGAGGUAAUGGCCCACCAAGGCGACGACGGGUA
rnacentral:rRNA from 1 species